rnacentral:misc_RNA from 1 species
AAUUUUGAUCAUCUUAUAAUAAGAAACUAAACAUCGUUAUUAUUGAAGAUACCUAAUCUCAUCGUACUGCUAUGAUUUCAAAGGAUACUUGAUCAAGUUGGACUCCCAAACUGGUACACAUUGAGCAAUCGCUGCAUCGCCCUCUAUUUACCACAUCCGAUAUUUGAUCAGUUUCAAUUGAACAUUUCAGGGGUUACACGGUCAAUACCAACUAAACUCAACUAGACACACAGCAAUGACCGUAUUACUCUCCAUAAUCCCAUUCAAAACUUAAUCAAAAGCUUCCAACGAACAUAAUAGCCUUCAGGUAUACGUUCACCUUCACUUACAAAACUAUCAAUUCCAUAGCACAAAAUUCAAGGAGUAAAUACUUUUUUCUUUUUUUUAAGUAACCGAUGCACUAUUUUUUAGUGCAUUGCCCAUUUCAACGUAACCAUCAGACCCUUCGAAAAAUAAUUUUGUAUUAAUUCCUCUCAAAGAACACAAUAAAAAUGAAAAAUCCACCAUUAUUAUAGCA